rnacentral:lncRNA from 1 species
GAGGUUUGUUUAGCUUAUAGUUUUGGAGGCUGAAAAUCUAAGAUUGGGUAGCCCUACCCAUUUGUCCUCUGUUGAGGCCUCCCUUGGCUGCAUCUACAUGGCAGAGAAGCAGAAAGGAAACUGGCCAUGUACUGAAGUGUCCACGCAUGAGGGAUAGAUAGCCUUGUUUUAUAACAAUCCAGUUUUGUGAAAACAAGCACCUUAAGACCAGUAUUUUUUCCCAUUUUUUAUUGGUGCAUUAUAGUUAUACAUAUAGAUGGGAUUCAUUGUUACAUAUUUGUACCUGUGCACAGUAAACAAUAUAGUAAUAUAAUUUGGGCAUUAUCACUCCCAGCACUCUCUCCCUCCUUCCCCACUUCCUGCCCCUUCAGCACCUGUAUUAAUUCCUUCCAAGGGCAGCACUCCUCAUAACCUAAUGGCUUUACCUAUUAAAAGUUCUACCAUCUCUCAGUGUUACCAUAUCGAGGCCUUUUAAUCUUCUUUUUUAAAAAAUUUAUUUUUAGUUGUAGAUAGACACAAUACCUUUAUUUUCUUUCUUUCUUUUUUUAUGUGGUGCUGAGAAUCAAACCCAGUGCUUCACACACAUACGAGUCUUUGGAGAUACUCUCAAACCACAGCAUGUCUAUGAUCGUGACUAUUGAACAUGGCUAAGAUCAUGCCAACAUGAUCAUGAACAUGUUAGCUAACUUCAGC